GACUGAUCCAGACCCCUGAACAUGGAUGUCAAUAAGGACUCUGCACUCCAGGGAGCCUCUGGAACAUCAGACAUCAAUAGACUGUUGCUGCAGCAGCGCCAUGGACACAGGUGUGGUCCUCAGCUGUAGCUUUGGCCCAGACAUCAAGCAGCUCAGAUAUGCAUAGCCCCAGCCUCAACAUGAAUUCAGGCGACUGACCCGACCCUGGGCAUCUACUUGUCCCUUGGUGGCAACACGGGCCAUAGACUUCAACACAGGCCCAGGAUGUGGUAGGACCAUGAAGCCAGACAUGGUUCUCAGCAGCAAUCUGGGUCCAUUAUGUAACCAUGUCCUGUAGGGGAACCUGUAGCCACGUCUGCAGGUGUGGUCAGGGUGAUAUGGGGUGAGAGGGUCAGGGCUGCAUUUCACUUUCGUUUGCCCCUUUUCGACUUGCAUACAGACUGCUGCCAUGCCAUCUGGCUAGGUCGCUCUGUAAGGCUUUUCCCUAUUAAAUACACUUAUAUUUC